ensembl:lncRNA
AACACUCUGUGCUCUCUCUGGAAGCUAAUGGUAUCAAAUAAAGCUUCUGCUUCAUCACCUUGAAGACUUACACCAAGCCUUAUAUAAGCUUUAACCGCUCUCUUUUUCAACAGAAGGCACAAUGGCUGAAAUUUGUCAGGUAUGUAUAACAGAGUGGAAGCAUUGACAUUUUUUUAGAUAGUACAUGCACAGAAGCAUCUUAAAAACUGCUUAUUCCUCCUACAGCAUAUCCCUCAUGCUGCUGUCUGCCAUCAACCUCCCCCUCUACGACCCUCAGUUCGACCACAGUGGUUACCAGUGGGCUGUCUGCCAUGUCCUCUGUGUCGGUGCAUAUAAGGUGUUUAAAGUUCACUCCAAGUCCGGCAACCUGAGGUAA